GACGAACGCUGUUUGCGUGCUUAACACAUGCAAGUCGAACGGAAAGGCCCUGCUUUUGUGGGGUGCUCGAGUGGCGAACGGGUGAGUAACACGUGAGUAACCUGCCCUUGACUUUGGGAUAACUUCAGGAAACUGGGGCUAAUACCGGAUAGGAGCUCCUGCUGCAUGGUGGGGGUUGGAAAGUUUCGGCGGUUGGGGAUGGACUCGCGGCUUAUCAGCUUGUUGGUGGGGUAGUGGCUUACCAAGGCUUUGACGGGUAGCCGGCCUGAGAGGGUGACCGGCCACAUUGGGACUGAGAUACGGCCCAGACUCCUACGGGAGGCAGCAGUGGGGAAUAUUGCACAAUGGGCGGAGGCCUGAUGCAGCAACGCCGCGUGCGGGAUGACGGCCUUCGGGUUGUAAACCGCUUUCGCCUGUGACGAAGCGUGAGUGACGGUAAUGGGUAAAGAAGCACCGGCUAACUACGUGCCAGCAGCCGCGGUGAUACGUAGGGUGCGAGCGUUGUCCGGAUUUAUUGGGCGUAAAGGGCUCGUAGGUGGUUGAUCGCGUCGGAAGUGUAAUCUUGGGGCUUAACCCUGAGCGUGCUUUCGAUACGGGUUGACUUGAGGAAGGUAGGGGAGAAUGGAAUUCCUGGUGGAGCGGUGGAAUGCGCAGAUAUCAGGAGGAACACCAGUGGCGAAGGCGGUUCUCUGGGCCUUUCCUGACGCUGAGGAGCGAAAGCGUGGGGAGCGAACAGGCUUAGAUACCCUGGUAGUCCACGCUGUAAACGGUGGGUACUAGGUGUGGGGUCCAUUCCACGGGUUCCGUGCCGUAGCUAACGCUUUAAGUACCCCGCCUGGGGAGUACGGCCGCAAGGCUAAAACUCAAAGGAAUUGACGGGGCCCCGCACAAGCGGCGGAGCAUGCGGAUUAAUUCGAUGCAACGCGUAGAACCUUACCUGGGUUUGACAUGGAUCGGGAGUGCUCAGAGAUGGGUGUGCCUCUUUUGGGGUCGGUUCACAGGUGGUGCAUGCCUGUCGUCAGCUCGUGUCGUGAGAUGUUGGGUUAAGUCCCGCAACGAGCGCAACCCUUGUUCACUGUUGCCAGCACGUUAUGGUGGGGACUCAGUGGAGACCGCCGGGGUCAACUCGGAGGAAGGUGGGGAUGACGUCAAGUCAUCAUGCCCCUUAUGUCCAGGGCUUCACGCAUGCUACAAUGGCUGGUACAGAGAGUGGCGAGCCUGUGAGGGUGAGCGAAUCUCGGAAAGCCGGUCUCAGUUCGGAUUGGGGUCUGCAACUCGACCUCAUGAAGUCGGAGUCGCUAGUAAUCGCAGAUCAGCAACGCUGCGGUGAAUACGUUCCCGGGGCU
rnacentral:rRNA from 1 species